CUGGCAGGCACUGCCCAUGCUGACUGAAGCACGUAGGCAACUGAGUGUCCAUGAGUUGCCUCAGCUUUCACAUAAAGUCUCCUCAUUGCACAUUAACACUAAGUCACUAUCCUGUUAGCAAAUAACCCUGGUAUCCAGUGUUUGAUAAGACAAAUAUUUGAACCAGGUGACAUUCAAGUAUUUUUAUAAAGUAACAUUUUGAAUAAGGCAGCUCUCACAGUUGCUUGGGUGGUAGCAAUUGAUUUUUUUUGUCAUGCAAAUGGAAUGUUGCCUACAGCUGGGAAAAACCCAACUUUCGGGAUAUUCUGGAAAAGUUUUUCUGACUUCUACAGCUUUUAAAAAUAAUUGGAAAGGAAAGACAUGCUGGGAAGAUGAGAAGGAAAGUUGUCUAUAUCAGAGGCCAGCUGAAAUGCAUGAAGCACUGCCUGGGGAUGGAAGAUGAGCUAGCUGAGAACUUAAUGUCUGUGUGUGUUCAUCCAUGAUUUCGCUUCAAAAUGGAAGUUCUUCAUGGAAUAGAUGAUUGUAUUGUUUUAUAAGGAGCUAGCACUAUGAUUGACAGCUGAAGAUUCUACAUAAAACACAGAAAGAAUGACCAAGGACAAAUUUCUGGUGGAGGGCUGAAGUCACAUACCAGUCAAGAAAGAGAUGGAGAAUGUUUAGCUCUGAACAUGUAUGAUACUGCAGAUAAAAGAGCGUAACUCUGGAAAUCAAAGUUCUUGGGAAUUCCUUGGGAGACUGCACGCAGUGUUGGGUACAGUUUAAGAGGUCCAGCUCUCUCAAAGGAGCUGAAAAUUCCUGGCAGCUAAAUUGCUUCCCAAAGUUAUAUGCUGCUAUGGGAAGCAGGUCUGGAAAUAAAAGUGAAGGAACUGAACAGAAAAAAAUGGUGAUUGGAUUUAAUGGACUUUGCAUUUGUAAGAGACUAUUCUUUUAUAUGAUUGACUCAAAGUUUGCUGAGGAACAAGUCCAGGCAAGUCCUGGGCAAAGGUAGAGAAAUCUUUUGUCUUGAGGACACUGAUGGACAGGUUCUGGCUAAGGACUGUGAAAUCCUCUAAGGAUCACAGAUGGACAAGGCCAGGGGCAACGAGAGAGAGAUAAGCUGCUGCUAAUGGCCGGGAAAUGGUCUUUUUGUGUGGACUUAUCUCGAGGAAGAUGGCCAUCUCAGGAGGUAUGCACCCAGGGAUGUCAUGUAGGCAGGAGAAAAUGGAGGAUAAAAGAGGGUUCAACAACCACGGCAAUGUAGAGGCUUAUCUCUCACCACGACAGACUUGAGGGGUUCUCUGCCAUCUGGUCCUUCACCACAACAGUGGAGGCUGAUCUCUCACCGCAACACAGAGGCUGAUCUCUCAUGAUCUCUCACCACGACACGAGCUUUUUGCCUUCAGAUCCUUCUCUACGGACCGUUUGCUGAUGGACUUCCCUGGGCAUGCUACCUGAGACCUGCUGCUUCCUCCCUGACCUGCACCCUCUCGUUGCCCAAGACCGGCCUCGCUGCUCCUGCCCUUUGGCCUCGGACCGUCGGAACAUCGUGUAACGGGACUGCUGCCGGAUCCUGGUGGUGACUAUCCCCGCUUUACUCAAUUCUUGCCUCUUUCUAUCUUUUCUAUCUCUUGCCUUCCCUUCCCCAUCACCCCAAUUCUUAAUAGUGUCCGUCCUCCCCUUUCUUAAUCUCCCUUAUUAACAUUUGUAAUAAACUGGUCG
ensembl:lncRNA